rnacentral:lncRNA from 1 species
AGCCAUCCUAAUAUCACCACGCAUAGUCUUCACCCCGAGGGAAAUCAAAACAGACCACUUGGGAAGAUACCUAUUUAUCAAAGGCACAUUGAAUAACACACUGGUGACACUAGCAACUAUAUAUGCCCCAAAUAUCAAACAAGUAUCGUUUGCCAACUCAUGUCUUAGGAAACUGCACAAAUUUGCAAAUGGGAUAAUAGUUUUAGGGGGAGACUGGAACAUGGUUCUAGACCACUCUACGGACAGCUCCACAACCAGUAGAGACACACAGAUACACCAAAGGGCUCUAUUUCAGAGAUCCCUCCAUGCCCACCAGCUGGUGGACUGCUGGAGAAUAUCCCACCCACAGGAGAGGGACUAUAGCUAUUAUUCACAGGUGGCUCAUAGUUAUUCCAGAUUGGAUAUGUUCUUCUUAGAACAUAGGCACUUACACCUGUUAAAGGAAGCAUCAAUUGGCCACAUCACGUGGUCAGACCAUGCCCCGGUGUUCCUCACACUAUCCAUUACAGGAACAUGCACACCCACCAACAAAUGGCGGUUAAAUGAAUCGCUCCUGGACGACCCAAGAGUGACUGAUGACCUCAAUAAUUCCCUCCCUAGAUACUUCCUAGAAAACAAAAACAAAGACACCGCAGACACCUGGGUAUGGGAGGCACACAAAGGUAUCACCCAAGGCAUACUGAUCAAGUGGGGUGCACGUAUCAAAAAAGAACGCCAAGCAAAGAUCAAAUCACUCACAGAAGCAAUAGCUAGAGCAGAAAUGGAACAUAAAACCGACCCCUCAGUGGAGGCGUAUAACAAACUAACGGCAUUGAGAAUGGAUCUACGCAAUAUCCAUACGAUGCAGGCACACAGAGCAGUACUUCUAACCAGGGGAACAUACUAUGCACAUGGUAAUAGGAGUGGGAAGUUCCUGGCCAGAGCCCUAAAAGAAAAGCACCAAAAAACAUACAUAUCCCACAUAAAGGCGCAAGACGGUACACGCAAAGAUAAAACCGAGGACAUAGCCAAAAUCUUCCGGGAAUACUAUAGUAACCUAUAUAACCUAGAGCACCAGAGAGGUCCUUCCCAUGACAUUAAAACAUACAUCUCCUCCCAUAUCCAAAAAACAAUAGACCUUCACCAGUCAACCAUAUUAGACUCCCACAUCCAGCUGGAAGAAUUGCAGCGAGCAAUUAAAACACUUCCUAAGGAUAAAAGCCCGGGACCAGAUGGCCUAACGGCCAGAUAUUACCAAUCUUUCCAACACAUCCUAUCUCCCCACUAUCUAGAAGUACUUAACAAUCUGCUAACCACUACCGAAUUACCACCCCCGAUGCUGAAAGCAUCGAUAACAAUCCUGCCAAAACCCGGCAAGGACCAGAGCCUGUGUGGUAGUUAUAGACCCAUCUCCCUAAUUAACCUUGACGUUAAACUGCUUGCAAAAAUCCUUGCCAACCGACUCAAGACACUACUGCCUGACCUGGUCCAUACAGACCAAGCGGGUUUCAUCCCGGGCAGGGAGGCGAGAGACAAUACCACAAGAAUACUCAACCUCAUACAUGUUGCCUCUACCACCAGGGAACCAACAAUACUCCUCUCGGUGGACGCCGAAAAGGCGUUCGACCGAGUAGACUGGAUCUUCCUAUUCACCACCCUUGAAACCAUAGGAAUCGGCCCCAAUUACAUACGAUGGGUGAGAACACUAUAUAAAGGACCAUCAGCCACAAUUGGAGUUAAUGGGCAAGACUCUCCCUCCUUUGCCAUAGGUAAUGGCACAAGACAAGGGUGCCCUCUGUCGCCACUGCUAUUCGUUCUGGUGAUGGAACCAUUUCUAAACGCCAUCAGGGCAAAUGCCAACAUUAAAGGCAUCAGGGCAGGGGAACAGGAAGUAAAAGUAUCUGCUUUUGCAGAUGACGUACUCCUAACACUCACACACCCUGAGCGCUCCCUCCCGCAUCUUCAGAGCGAAAUAGAACACUUCAGUACAUACUCAAAUUUCAAAAUAAACGCUGAUAAAUGCGAACUAAUGGGCAUAAACCUAAAACCGACCCAACUCAAACACAUAAACCACAAUUACCCUUAUCGAUGGGCAAACACAGGCCUCACAUAUCUAGGCAUCAAACUCGCACCCACAACGACAAGCCUCUAUAGAAUGAACUACAUUCCCCUAUUGGCUAACAUUAAAUCACAACUCAAACACUGGGACAAACCUCACUUCUCCCUUUUUGGAAG